GACGAGGGGUCCUAGCGUUGUUCGGAAUCAUUGGGCGUAAAGCGUGUGUAGGCUGCCAUUCAAGUCAGUUGUGAAAUCCCCGGGCUUAACCCGGGAAGUGCUUCUGAUACUGUUUGGCUUGAGUACUGGAGAGGAUAGUAGAAUUCCUGGUGUAGUGGUGAAAUACGUAGAUAUCAGGAGGAAUACCGGUGGCGAAGGCGGCUAUCUGGCCAAGUACUGACGCUGAGACACGAAAGCGUGGGGAGCAAACAGG
rnacentral:rRNA from 1 species